AUGGACGUCAAGGGUGCCCCUGACUCCAUCUCUUGGCGACUGGAGCCCUCCGGCCGGUUCUCCACUAAGUCCCUAUACGCGGCCAUCGCACCCUCGUCGGCCCUUGAGCCCUUUAGCCUGAUCUGGGAUAUUCGCCUCCCUCUGAAGAUCAGGAUAUUCCUGUGGCAGUGGAUUUGGGGACGCCUUCCCUCUGGGGUAGCAGUCCUCAAGCGUAAUGGACCGGGAGAUGGGAUUUGCCCCCUGUGCGGCACGGUGAAGGAUGCUAACCACAUCUUCUUCUCUUGCUCCACAGCCCAAUUCCUUUGGUCCUGCUUUCGCGAGACGGUCGGUAGACAGUGGUGCAACACCAACUUCCCCGACUUACUUGCCGAGAUCCAUGCCUCCCCCCCUUGCUUCCUGGACGCUUUGGACCAUCCACAACAAGCUGGUUAUUCAGAAAGUGCCUCUUCGACGUGCGACUAA
rnacentral:rRNA from 1 species